rnacentral:snRNA from 1 species
GUGCUCCCUUCGGCAGCACAUAUACUAAAAUUGGAAUAAUAUAGAGAAGAUUAGCAUGGCCCUUGCGCAAGGAUGACACGCAAAUUCAGGAAGCGUUCCAUAUUUUU